rnacentral:tRNA from 1 species
GCCAGAGUGGUGGAACGGUAGACACGCAGUCUUCAGGAGGCUGUAUCCGCAAGGGUGUGAGGGUUCAAAUCCCUCCUCUGGCACCA